rnacentral:rRNA from 1 species
AGUGAACGCUGGCGGCAGGCCUAACACAUGCAAGUCGAGCGGCAGCGGGUUCCCGCGAGGGGAUGCCGGCGAGCGGCGGACGGGUGAGGAACACAUCGGAAUCUGCCUGGUUGUGGGGGAUAACGUAGGGAAACUUACGCUAAUACCGCAUGCGACCCUGAGUCGACGGACUUGGGGUGAAAGUGAGGGACCUUCGGGCCUCACGCGACCAGAUGAGCCGAUGUCGGAUUAGCUAGUUGGCGGGGUAACGGCCCGCCAAGGCGACGAUCCGUAGCUGGGUCUGAGAGGAUGAUCAGCCACACUGGGACUGAGACACGGCCCAGACUCCUACGGGAGGCAGCAGUCGAGAAUCUUCCGCAAUGCGCGCAAGCGUGACGG